rnacentral:rRNA from 1 species
UACGUAGGGUGCGAGCGUUAAUCGGAAUACUGGGCGUAAAGCGUGCGCAGGCGGUUCGUUGUGUCGGCGGUGAAAGCCCCGGGCUUAACCUGGGAAUGGCCGUUGAAACUGGCGAACUGGAGUGUGGCAGAGGGGGGUGGAAUUCCGCGUGUAGCAGUGAAAUGCGUAGAGAUGUGGAGGAACACCGAUGGCGAAGGCAGCCCCCUGGGCCAAUACUGACGCUCAUGCACGAAAGCGUGGGGAGCAAACAGG